GAGCGGACCGACGGGAGCUUGCUCCCUGAGGUUAGCGGCGGACGGGUGAGUAACACGUGGGUAACCUGCCUGUAAGACUGGGAUAACUCCGGGAAACCGGGGCUAAUACCGGAUGCUUGAUUGAACCGCAUGGUUCAAUCAUAAAAGAUGGCUUCGGCUAUCACUUACAGAUGGACCCGCGGCGCAUUAGCUAGUUGGUGAGGUAACGGCUCACCAAGGCGACGAUGCGUAGCCGACCUGAGAGGGUGAUCGGCCACACUGGGACUGAGACACGGCCCAGACUCCUACGGGAGGCAGCAGUAGGGAAUCUUCCGCAAUGGACGAAAGUCUGACGGAGCAACGCCGCGUGAGUGAUGAAGGUUUUCGGAUCGUAAAACUCUGUUGUUAGGGAAGAACAAGUACCGUUCGAACAGGGCGGUACCUUGACGGUACCUAACCAGAAAGCCACGGCUAACUACGUGCCAGCAGCCGCGGUAAUACGUAGGUGGCAAGCGUUGUCCGGAAUUAUUGGGCGUAAAGCGCGCGCAGGCGGUUUCUUAAGUCUGAUGUGAAAGCCCCCGGCUCAACCGGGGAGGGUCAUUGGAAACUGGGGAACUUGAGUGCAGAAGAGGAGAGUGGAAUUCCACGUGUAGCGGUGAAAUGCGUAGAGAUGUGGAGGAACACCAGUGGCGAAGGCGACUCUCUGGUCUGUAACUGACGCUGAGGCGCGAAAGCGUGGGGAGCGAACAGGAUUAGAUACCCUGGUAGUCCACGCCGUAAACGAUGAGUGCUAAGUGUUAGAGGGUUUCCGCCCUUUAGUGCUGCAGCAAACGCAUUAAGCACUCCGCCU
rnacentral:rRNA from 1 species